AGCCCCAGCCCCAGGAUCCCCAGGUGUUCCCAUUCUGUGAUCAGGACAGAGCACAGACAACUCACCAUGGAGUUUGUACUUGGCUGGGUUUUCCUUGUUGCUCUUUUGAAAGGUGUCCAGUGUGAGGUGCAGCUGGUGGAGUCUGGGGGAGACCUGGUGAAGCCUGGCGGGUCCCUGAGACUCUCCUGUGCAGCCUCUGGAUUCACCUUCAGUAGCUAUGCUAUGAGCUGGGUCCGCCAGGCUCCAGGGAAGGGGCUGCAGUGGGUCGCAUAUAUUAGCAGUAGUGGUGGUAGCACAUACUACGCGGACUCCGUGAAGGGCCGAUUCACCAUCUCCAGAGACAACGGCAAGAACACGCUGUAUCUGCAGAUGAACAGCCUGAGAGACGAGGACACGGCCGUGUAUUACUGUGCAAAGGACACAGUGAGGGGAAGUCAGUGUGAGCCCAGACACAAACCUCAUUGUAGAAGAGGACCAGGACCACCAGGGGGUGUUCACUACUCACCAAUUCUGUCUUCAAGCCCCACGAGCAGGAGAAUCCAGCUCAGUGUGCAAGCUUGCAAGAAGUGCACUCUGGAUAUGGGGCUACAGUGGCGUCAACAAUCCAAAGCCAGAGAAGAAAGAUCCCUGGUGGGGCUCACUGUCUUAAACCAUGUUCACAACAAUGACUAUCCAGUUGACUAUCCUAGGACUCUGAGAGAAGAUACAGUGGACACACAGAAGGAGAAACUUGAAGAUGAGGAUGUGAUCACCAUGUGA